AUGAAAAGCCGACGGCAAGAUCUAUUCACUCUAGCAACCAGUUACAGCGGCCAGCUAAAAGCAAAAGCACCACAAUUGAUCAAAGAAAGUGAUUUCCAUCAGGUUGUGGAAGUAAAGCCAGCUAAGACUGAGCCAGCAGAAACGGCGCCAGGUGAUUCUACAACCUCCGGAACAUCAAACUUGCAAGCACCAAGUUCCUCGGUUAAAGUUAAUGGAGAAUCUAAUUCAGAUAAAGAUGUUUGUGAUAGUAUCUAGUUCCUCAUCUGGUAAAGAGCGGAGAACUCUAAAUCGGGCUGCUGAUGUACAGCCUAUCCUCACAGUGCCGUCCUCAAAUAAUGCAUCGUAAGUCUCAAUCUUUCACUCAACUCUUUAAUUGCUCAAAUUAGUAUAUUGUUACUAUAUAUUGAUUGAUUAAAUCCAUUAUUAUUUACUUUGCUGGAAAAAGUGCUGUAGUACUUGCUUACUAAUUAGUGCUACAGCCCC
rnacentral:lncRNA from 1 species